rnacentral:lncRNA from 1 species
UGAAAAGUUGUCCAAGUGUUGCAACCAGGGUCAGUAUUGACGUAGAAACUGAGCCUAGUGUUUGCUUUAAGCAGGAGAGAGUUGCAGAGCUGAGUAAAGGAGCUGUUAUCUNCUGAGGCCACUGCCGUUGUAAUGGAGCCUGUCAGUUUAGUUGUGGCUGAUUUCAGGGGAGAGUCUGAGUGUCUGUCAGUACAGAAAUCUGUAGUUUUGGAUUGCAGGGAGAGAGGGGGGAGGAAUCCUUUGACUUUGCCUGUGGAGUCCAGGGAAAUUGGAAUUGUCUGUGUGCCUUGUUUAGAAGCAGAACUGGUGACUGAGUUGUUAGUGCUAGAGAUGAGCCUGAGAGUAAUGGAGCAAGUGAGCCUGCUGUUUUAAGUCUGGGAAUAGAAGAGGGUAGGAAUUCCUUAGUUGUUGUUUGUGCUGGAAAUGAGGCUUUGGAAGAAACUGUGUUUCCUGCCGUUUGUGAUAAUGGACCUGAUUGUCAACCUAGUGAUGUUAACUAGGAAGAAAGGAAACAAAUCAGUUUUACAGAGCAGAGUCUUUUGGAAGUGCAUGUGGUGGGUAGUUCCCCACGCAAGCUGUUGGAGAAAGAAAGCAGAAUCUUUUAGUAAGAGAAAAAAGAAACAACCCUCCAUGGCAGCUAGAAGGAUCCACAUGUGCUCCGGAUCACAGNCAAGGAUCAACACACCAUUGGACAGAUGGAUCAGUGCAAUGAAAGGCAAAGAUGUUUGACAAUUGUGUCCACACAGAGAAAUGUUAGCAUGAAAGACUGUGAUCUGAGCCAGUGACCUGCAAAGAACUGUGAAACCCAGAACUUUUCUAUGCUAUGGUCAUUGCUUGGCUCUUCACAAGGAAGUGGAAUCCCAGAACCCUAGAACUGUCAAGCAAGGAACUGUUAACUGAUGAAGAUAUUUGAACUGUGAUCCUUGAGUACAGAUACAGAAGACAGAAGACCCUGGAUCAAGUUGUUCGUUCAGCUGUUGCCACUGUAAAUGUCAUUGCCAUUUUUCCUAAUGCAGUGCUGUAUUAAUGUCAAUGCAAGGGCUACUGUGGUUGUAUUGUUGCCANUUGUUGCACUUUUAUUGCUAUGAGUUAUUGAUAUAUCGAUAAGUGCUUNGGUGCCUGCCUCCCAUUGGAGGAGGCCACCCUCAGCUUUGAAACAGUUGUAUUCAUUUUGGUAUAUGAUUGUUGUUUGAAAUGCUUUGUUUCAGGUUAUGUCGUUAAGCUUGCUUGCUUCUUUCUUUUGUGACUUCCCUUCCCUUCCUCAGAUAAUAGGCACAUGAUUACAAGAUUGCUUUUAUUAUAGGAAUGGAAGGAACAUUUAUUAGAUUAUUUAUGCUGUAACUAAUUAUUGGGCAAGUCAGAAAGCUCAAGACCCACAGUACUGAAGCAAAGAAGGCAACUUUUACUAAUCUNAUCUAAAAGUGUUAGUAAGCCAUGAGGCUAAACAGAUUAAUUUGCAACAAAGCAUUCUCUUUUUUUGAUUGGUCUGGAACUCCCACAGAAAAAUUGAAUUUGGCUGUACAUCCCAUUGUAAUUUUGUUCUUGGGCCAAAUAAUUGUUUUAAUUUUAACUGGGAUUGCUUUGAGCAGAGUAAACAGAGUCUAUAAGUCUAUAAGUCGAAACCAUACUUAAGUGUUGCUUCUAGAUAAAAUAUUGAGAAUACUUNGUCUAGACAGGGAGGAAAUAUAGCAAUAUUACCCAGAAUUCCAAGACCCCUAGGGUGCUGUGCCAAGAAGGCAGGGAUCUGCCAAGGACCAGGCAUCUCUGGCCACCAAAAAUGAACAUAAAUAUCAUAAAUAUAAUCCACACAUAUCUUGCAGAUGCUGGGAACUGGACCAGAUAGCCUGGACUCCUGUAUCUAGACCAGAAUCCAUCUUGGCAUAUCAGUAUCCAUGGACAAACCAGAGUUUUAAAAAGGACAAGGAAAGUUGCAAAAUCUUCCACUUUUCUCUGUAUAAAAAAAAGCAAGAAAUUUGGAAAGGACAAGGAAUGACUAAGAAAUAAACAGAUCAACAGAAUGGGAGAAGCUCA